GCUCAAUAUCUAGCCCAACCCAAAUGUAUUUUAAUACCUCAAUUUUCCCUCACCUUUAAAACAUUUUUUUAAUUUAGUAGAGGCGAUUAAAAAAUUUCUUGGAGCAAUAUUUUCUAGUACCGUAAGGGAAAGAUGAAAUAAAAAUGAAAAAACUUUUCAAGCCCAAAAUAGUAGAGCUUAACUCUCGUACCUUUUGCAUCAUGGUUUAACUAGUCUCAUCAAGCAAAAAGACUUUUAGUUUGAACCCCCGAAUCUAGGCGAGCUAUUUUAAGACAGUUUCAUGAACGAACCCGUCUCUGUUGCAAAAGAGUGGGAAGAUCCUAAAAUAGCGGUGACAGACCUAACGAGCCUAGUGAUAGCUGGUUGCUCCAGAAAAGGAUUUUAGUCCUGCUUAAACCUUAAUGAUUUUCCAAAAAAUCUGUUUAAAGUUACUCAAAUAAGGUACAGCCUAUUUGAAAAAGGAUACAACCUUAAUUACUGGGUCUUAAUUUUUAAUUUUGGUAGAGUAGGCCUAAAAGCAGCCAUCUCAAACAAAAGCGUCAAAGCUUACCCAUAAACUUAACCAAUUCCUAUCCUCCCAUCUACCCCUUAUUUUUCCCAUAGAGCAUCUCUAUAUUUUUAUAGAAAAUUUUAUGUUAAAACUAGUAAUAAGAAGCAGACCAUUCUCUUUAACGCAAGUUUACGUCAAUCAGGACACUCCACUGACAAUUAACGCCCAUAAUUUAUGAGUUGAAACAAAACAAGAAAAAUCUUCUAUCAUCAGCGUUCACCUAACACCAGAGCGUUACAAGAAAGAUCAAAAGAAAAAGAAGGAAUUCGGCAAAUUCCUAGUCCCGCCUGUUUACCAAAAACAUCGCCUCUUGCUAAACAAAUAAGAGGUCCAGCCUGCCCAGUGACACUGUUCAACGGCCGCGGUAUCCUAACCGUGCGAAGGUAGCGUAAUCAUUUGUUCUUUAAUUGAGGACUAGUAUGAAUGGCCCCACGAGGACUAUACUGUCUCCUUUUUCUGAUCAAUGAAACUGAUCUCCUCGUGAAGAAGCGGGGAUAAGCAUAUAAGACGAGAAGACCCUAUGGAGCUUUAAACAACAGAUACUUGCUAAAUUUAAAUUUUAUUCCUGAAAACUAAACAAAUUAAAGCAUUUUACUCUUAAGUUUUAGGUUGGGGUGACCACGGAGAAAAAAUCAACCUCCACGUUGUAAGAAGCCUCUCGGCUUCUAAGCUAAAAGCCACAGCUUAAAGCAUCAACACAUUGACCUCCAUUGACCCAAUAAUUUGACCAACGAACCAAGUUACCCUAGGGAUAACAGCGCAAUCUACUUUGAGAGCUCAUAUCGACAAGUAGGUUUACGACCUCGAUGUUGGAUCAGGGUGUCCUAGUGGUGCAGCCGCUACUAACGGUCGUUGUCAACGAUAAAAC
rnacentral:rRNA from 1 species